GUCGGGUAAACACGCAAGUGUAUAAAUUUUUCUCUGAUUGCGACCUCAGAUCAGGUGGGUCUACCCGCUGAAUUUAAGCAUAUUAUUAAGCGGUGGAAAAGAAACUAACAAGGAUUCCCUCAGUAGCUGCGAGCGAACCGGGAACAGCCCAGCACCGAAUCCCGCCGGCUGCGCCGGCCCGGAAAUGUGGUGUUCGGAAGGGCCCAACUAACCCGGUGUUCGGCGGCCAGUCCAAGUCCAUCUUGAAUGGGGCCACUGCCCGUAGAGGGUGCCAGGCCCGUAGGACGGUCGCCGGCGUCGGGUGGGUCUCUCCUUAGAGUCGGGUUGCUUGAGAGUGCAGCCCUAAGCAGAUGGUAAACUCCAUCUAAGGCUAAAUAUGACCACGAGAUCGAUAGAAAACAAGUACCAUGAGGGAAAGUUGAAAAGAACUUUGAAGAGAGAGUUCAAGAGUACGUGAAACCGUUCAGGGGUAAACGGAAAAGACUUUAAACACCGAAAGGGGAGAUCACGCUCUCUUGCAUGAGUCGGUUCCCGCGGGGUCAGAUGGCACCGUACGCCCGCACGGCGCAAGUCGUUGCGGGGUCGUUUCGGUGAUCACUCGGCGCUCGCGGGGGUUAUGCCGGCCGCGGUGGGCCGCACUUCUCCCUCAGUAGGAAAUCGCGACCCGUUGGACGGCGGUCGACGGCCUCGGCGGUAGCCCGGGACGCGGGAAAGCUUCUGCCGUACCGUGCUCCCGGACCCCGGGUCGCCCGACCGAUCGUCGGACAGUAUGGAACGCAGGUGUCGGACCGCCACCGUUUAUCGGGCGUCCGGGCCGGCCGCAAGCUUGAGCGCACCAGGAUGACGGUACUUGUGCCCGGCUCUUCGGUGCGCCAAACUGUUGGCGGCCGUGUCUUCGGACGGGUCUUGUAACACCGGUCAGCGAUGUCCGUUUAAGGUACUUAUCCGACCCGAGAUCGGAAGAAAG